AAGACCGGGAGGUGCCUGCGGCUCUGUAGAGCUGGAGGUCAGCCGAAGUUCCAGCAACCUGCUGGCAAGACUGCUGUGAGCCCUGGUCUGAGUCUCAGAGAUGACUUUUCACACCAUCAAGGCCACUUUCUCAGCUUAUUGACAGCUUUAUGAGCGCUGUUGGAAAAGCCCCAGCUUCCUUCGUUCCUCGGCUCCAGCUUUCCGUCGGGCGAGAGGCAGGUUUUUAAUUAGGGCCUGAGAGCCUUUGCUUUGCUUCAGCGUUCCCCAGUUUUCCUGGCGUUUGCUGUCUUCAUUUCCAAGCUUCUUCCCUCUCCAGUCCUUUGCAGGGAGUUCUGUGGAGGUGUUUCUGCUUGGCUGAAGUUCUGAAGAGCAGCAUUCUUUCUCACACCAUUGCGUGACUCCUCCUGGGGCCCUCGUUGGUCAUUAAACAUGUUGAGAGCUCUGCCUUAGCUCUUGACACAGCGUUAAGAAUGUGAUGAAACUGCAUGGAAACAAAUAGAUUGUAAAUAAGCUUGUUCAGUAAAUAUGCACAAACUGGUCUGGCUACAUCCAGAUGUUCUGGCUUUGUUUCUUCUGCAAUACAGGGCUGGGAGGUCCCUGAGUUAUCGCACCUGGGCGUGUGUUACCUGCUGCUUCUCUACCCUUGAGAUGUAUGAUCACAUCAGGACAACUGGUCAGGAUAUGCUACAGAGCAGCAUUUUUGAUCUCCCUGACUUAGCAGAAAGUGGGUAUAAAUAAAACAUACUCCUAGUGACAUUUUAGUUUGCUUUUCGGCAGUGGAAGUGACUGCAAAAACCCGUGUAGCAAUGGAAAAUCGAGCUCUUCAUGUUUUAUCUGCAGCCUCAAUGUGCCUAUAAGAAAAAAAAAAAUAAAUAAAAAUCCCCCUUAAACGCAGGGAAGAACUGGGGAUAGGAAGCUGAGACGUUUUGGAGGAAGAAUGCAUAAAAUGCAGACAGAAAGAAGGCUGAAAUAUGAACAUGUGAGACACUCCAGAGGGUCCCCAAGGCAGCUCAGGAAAGCUACAGAUCCCGUUCAGUUUGUGAAAUGAGUUAGAAGAGGAAUGAAAUUUAUUCUGUGCUCUCGCCGUGUUGUUCUGUACUUAGGAAGAAAUCAAACACAAACACACAAAGAAAAGACCUGAAAAGCCAAAAUUUCCCCAUUCCAGUUGGCUUCAGGCCUCAGCAAAGAAGUUACAGGCUGCCCUGCUCCCGUAGGGCCCUGUGUGCUCGAGUGCGGGAGGGAGCGAUGGAACUUACUGCCCUGAAACUGGGGACGAAGGAGUGAAUUAAAAGGACAGGAAGAAAAAGGCACCUCACAGCACGGGGACACUUGCUGCGACUCUCCUGUCUGUAGUUGAUGUGUUGAGGAACAGAAGCAGCCGAACAAUGAGGAACAGACUGUUCCCAUGUCGGACGGGAAGUGCAUGAAAUCCCAUGAGCGAGUCUGUGCUUUCUAAUGAUUUCCAGAUGGCAUCCUAGCCCCAAAGCGUUGUGGUUGUCUGGAUACACGUUCACACGUCGCAAGGCUUCUACAGAAAAUCAGAGGAUCUCCUUUAAAGUCGUACCUUGGCCUGAACCAAGAGUGUUGGAUGUAAAGAUCCAUGUGGUAGGUUUGGCUUUCCCUCCACCGAGGGACAUUAGUGCUCAACCUAUGGAAAAAUGUACUUGAGAUGAUUGUACAGAAUUUGCAUUUCUGGCCAUUUUCCACCAGGAUCUCUAUCCAAACUGUGGAGUGUACGUGGAUUUCCAGAAAGCUUUUGUCGAGUUUUCACAUCAAAGGCUCUGGCUGUAAGUUAUGGCAGGAGGUGAAGGCGGUCCUCGUAGUUGGCUAAGGGGUAGGAAUCACAGAAUCACAGCAUGGAAUACAUGGUAAGCUCUCCUGGUGGAAAAAGGUUGUAGCAGAAUCCCCCAUGGAUGAAGCAGAUGAAGCGACGUGUUUUGCAGAUGAUAGAAGCGUGCAGGGUAGUCAACAUUAAUGCCUCUUGGAACAAGUCAUAGGAGGAUACGAUGGUAAGGAAGAAGGGUGCCUGCCUCCACCCAAAAAGAUGAGACACACAGCAGCGUGCUGUCAUCAGGAGAGGUGAGGAGCCUUCUCCAUGUUGCAUUAAACCACAAACCAUUAAACUGCCUUUUGUGCAGGUAGAACUUUGAAUCUUGGGGAGGAAGGACCACAAGGUGGAGCGCAGUGAAGUGCUGCCUGUUGGCCAUCCCUGCAGCUGCCAUGCUGUAAGAUGGAAACUGUAAAAGGCCAAGUGCAAAUCUUAGAGUCCUAAUGUGUCAGUUAUCUUUCUGACGAUUGCAUGUGGAUUUCAUUAGCUAGCUAAAUGGUACCUAUUACAGAAUCUCACCAGCUGCAGGGAUUUCCAGUAGGAAACGUGAGAUGGGAAAUGCUGACAAAUCUCCAGUUCCCAGAGGCUCUCUGGAAUUCAUGCAGAUGAAGUACAAUAAGGGCAGCCCUGGGCAUCUCACCCUGACUCCGUGCAGUCGCAUCUCUUUGGAGCCAGGAGGGGUGAACUGUGCCCGUGGCAGUCAAUGCAUACCUGGUAUCCUGCAGCUAAUGUGGAAUAGGAAGAGAGAGUGGAUGAGGACAUUAUCCUAGGGCAAUCCAGUGAUGUUUGCCAUCUCUGAAGAGCCUAGCACCAUUUCUUCCUGUAGUUUCAGCAUUAUACAGUGCAACUCGAGCUUGUAGGUAAUGGGGUAAUCCCUGCAAGGACCUUACUUGAGUGAGUGCUGCUCCAGAUGGUGAAAAUGCCCAGGAUAGAUUUGAUUUUUUUUUUCUUUCUGUUUUUUCUGCUAUGCAAGCUUCUCACAGUGUCUCCUUCAGUGCAAAUGUUUACUGCUUUCUUCAUCUUUGACCUCGCUCUUUCGAGGGACUCAUCAAGUUGGAAUGGUGAAAGAAAGGAAGGGGGGCUAAUGAGCUGGAGAGGGCUCGUGAUGACUCCUGUGAUGCUCUUUUGCCAUCUAACCUUGUCCUGCUGAGCUCAACCGGAUGCUCAGUGACUUCCUGGAAUGACCCCACAACCUCAGAGGCUGAAUUCAUAGCUUGCAUGCCCCUGUAUCAGGAUGCACACCAUCUAGCUCCCUUGCCCAGCAGUACAGAGAGGUGUAUUGCCCACUGGUGUGGUUGGGUCCUGCAGGAACAUGGUGGGCACUCUCUGCACAGCUCUUUGGGUGCUCUGCACUGGUUUUCCAGCUGCCUCUUGGAAGCAAGGCUCUUCCAGAUGGCUGCUGAGCUCCAGCCAGCGCACUCUAGAUACCAGUGCCUUAAGCAAGCUUAGGGUGGGGGCUUGUAGAUAAGAAUGGGCAGAGAGGAUUUCUGCAGGAAUGCCUGGUAGGCAGUCUGCCCCAGGGCUUGCAGCUUUCCUCAGCCCUGAAAAAUUGCAGUGGGGAGCUGGCAGGGUGUGUGUGGGUGUUUCCAAGAUGAUCGAUAUGAUUUGAGGGCAAAGAUCUGCCUCACACAGUGCGCUUUAGUUGCAAAGCAACUUCUUGUAUUAGGCAUCUCUUCAGGGCAUCAUAGGUUGUACUAUCCAGUCUUGUAAGGCUCAGAGCAUGUAUGCUGUCUUUAGGAGGUGAUUGUAGAAGAGCCCAGGCCCCCGUUUUCCACUGUGACUGUGUUCCCCUUCCUCGCAAAAUGUUCUGUGGUUUCUGUGCUUGUGGAGUUUCUCCAGCAUGUUGAGUAAUGCCUGUGAGUUAAGCCAGAGCAAUGCCAGAGUUAUCCUCUGGCCAACAUAUCAUGGGGACUAAUUAAAAAUACAUACACACCUUCCUUCCUGGUCAGUCUUCAAAUACAGCUUUACCUGGGGUGCUUCCUGUGCAAUGGGAGAAGUGAAAGUAACAGGGAUCCCAACUCUGAGUGCUGAAACACAGUUAACACAAGUUAAAGAAAUAAAGAAGUAAAUUAAGGAAAAUGUGACCAUGCAACUGAGUGGCCAUCCCUUUAAAUGAGAAGUGUUUACCAUUUGGCAGCAAUAAAUGCAGGCAGCUCUACAGAUCUGAUUCUGGUUUUAUACAUGGCUGUGGAUGCACCAGUCUCCAUCACAUCUCUGUGGGGCAUCUCCUCCAUCCCAGGGGUCAGGUAUCUCAGUGUUAAUUGUCUGGAAAAUCCAAUUAAAAGCUGCCUUUGAUGACUUGAUGAUCCUUGUAGGUCCCUUCCAACUCCGAAUGUUCUACAAUUCUAUGAUUCUCACAGCGACAGCUGGCAGGAUGGAGCUUUCCCUGCUCAGAAGAGGGCAAUCAGCAAAACCUCAGGGCAGCUCCAAGGGACAUGAGAAUCUUGCUUUACACAUGCACAAAGCAGCCCUGGAAGGAGUGAAAUGAAGAACUGGCAAGGAAAGUUGAAGGUGUUGUGCUGUCCCAAGCAUGCAGGCGUGGUGAGUGUCUUCAAACAGAUCUUGAAGCUAAAAUUUAACAUCCUAUAACAAGAACUUAGGCAUGUAAAAUUCCCACUGAAGCCUCAUGUACACAACAUGCACCUUUGGGGUUAUGCUUACAGAGAGAGGGGAUGUCCAGUGGGCCUAUCUGGGAGGUGGUUUCCUAACAAUGAGCAAUUCCUGUGCUGAAAUGAAUGAGAAUGGAGCUGUGAAAUGGUGAGUGUAGGUAGUGUCACCCCUGCUGUAUUUAAGAGUGAAGAUGUGGAGACUCAGCAGAGUGCAAAAUGGAAAAACAGAGCAAAUU